rnacentral:rRNA from 1 species
CCCUUAGAUGUUCUGGGCCGCACGCGCGCUACACUGAUACAGACAGCAAGUUAUAUUUCCCCUUGGCUGAGAGGCCUGGGUAAUCUUGUGAAAUUGUAUCGUGAUGGGGAUAGGUCACUGUAAUCGUUGACCUUUAACGAGGAAUUCCUAGUACGCGCAAGUCAUCAGCUUGCAUGGAUUACGUCCCUGCCCUUUGUACACACCGCCCGUCGCUCCUACCGAUUGAAUGUUCCGGUGAGCUCUUCGGACUGCGCGGUCUGCAGUUUCUGCGUUCCGUGCGGAAAGUUGCGCAAACCUUAACAUUUAGAGGAAGGAGAAGUCGUAACA